GACGAACGCUGGCGGCGUGCUUAACACAUGCAAGUCGAACGGAAAGGCCCUGCUUUUGUGGGGUGCUCGAGUGGCGAACGGGUGAGUAACACGUGAGUAACCUGCCCUUGACUUUGGGAUAACUUCAGGAAACUGGGGCUAAUACCGGAUAGGAGCUCCUGCUGCAUGGUGGGGGUUGGAAAGUUUCGGCGGUUGGGGAUGGACUCGCGGCUUAUCAGCUUGUUGGUGGGGUAGUGGCUUACCAAGGCUUUGACGGGUAGCCGGCCUGAGAGGGUGACCGGCCACAUUGGGACUGAGAUACGGCCCAGACUCCUACGGGAGGCAGCAGUGUGGAAUAUUGCACAAUGGGCGGAAGCCUGAUGCAGCAACGCCGCGUGCGGGAUGACGGCCUUCGGGUUGUAAACCGCUUUCGCCUGUGACGAAGCGUGAGUGACGGUAAUGUGUAAAGAAGCACCGGCUAACUACGUG
rnacentral:rRNA from 1 species